UUAUUGCUUGUUCCACCAGGCCAUGUUUGUGUUCCUAUUGACCCCAGACGCUGUGAAGAAUUUGAUCCUACAACUGUACCAACCCUUUCCACGCUUCUGGAAGAACUCAACAUGGGCGGUUCAAGAGUUGAAAUUGAUAAUGAAUUGGAUAGAACUUCACUUGGCAAAUCAAUCAGGUUUUUCAGAUCAUCCUUCUUGGAGCCUCUAUUGAAAUCUUGCAACGUUCACUUCAUCUUCUUUCAUUUUAUUUCU